rnacentral:rRNA from 1 species
UGGGGAAUAUUGCACAAUGGGCGCAAGCCUGAUGCAGCCAUGCCGCGUGUAUGAAGAAGGCCUUAGGGUUGUAAAGUACUUUCAGCGGGGAGGAAGGUGAUAAGGUUAAUACCCUUGUCAAUUGACGUUACCCGCAGAAGAAGCACCGGCUAACUCCGUGCCAGCAGCCGCGGUAAUACGGAGGGUGCAAGCGUUAAUCGGAAUUACUGGGCGUAAAGCGCACGCAGGCGGUCAAUUAAGUCAGAUGUGAAACCCCGAGCUUAACUUGGGAAUUGCAUCUGAAACUGGUUGGCUAGAGUCUUGUAGAGGGGGGUAGAAUUCCAUGUGUAGCGGUGAAAUGCGUAGAGAUGUGGAGGAAUACCGGUGGCGAAGGCGGCCCCCUGGACAAAGACUGACGCUCAGGUGCGAAAGCGUGGGGAGCAAACA